AUUUCACCAGUGCCUAGAAAGUGCCUGGCACAUAAUAGUUGCUGAAAAGAAGAAUUCAGCUUAUCACAACCUCCUAAAUCUCCCAAUAAAUCACCUGAAGUAAAAACAGCAACUCAAAAGCCUUGGAAGAGGGCGCUUUUGUAUCCAGGUUCUUCUAAAGAUGAUGUGAUUGAGAAAGGGCACAUGUAUCUGUUAAUUCUUACUGCAUCCCCAUGAAGAAAGCAUUAUCAUCAUUUUUCAAGUGAUAAAACAAGUGAAAAGACAUAUAGUCAUGAGUUGACAGAAAAGUUGAAUUUUGAAAACUAUAUAUUGUUAUGGCUAGAGUAUUACAGUGAAAAAGUAGGAGAUGAGCUGAAAAGAUAAGUGAGGUUCAGAAUGCAAUUUCUUAUCUGUCAUAUUAAAGAAUCUGGAGAUUAUUCUCUAUGAACUC
rnacentral:sRNA from 1 species